UACGUAGGGUGCGAGCGUUGUCCGGAAUUACUGGGCGUAAAGAGCUCGUAGGUGGUUUGUCGCGUUGUUCGUGAAAACUCACAGCUUAACUGUGGGCGUGCGGGCGAUACGGGCAGACUGGAGUACUGCAGGGGAGACUGGAAUUCCUGGUGUAGCGGUGGAAUGCGCAGAUAUCAGGAGGAACACCGGUGGCGAAGGCGGGUCUCUGGGCUGAAACUGACGCUCAUGCACGAAAGCGUGGGGAGCAAACAGG
rnacentral:rRNA from 1 species